rnacentral:tRNA from 1 species
CGAAUUUUAGCUCAUUGGGUAGAGCAUUUGUAUUUGGGACAAAGGGUAACCAGUUCAACUCUGGUAAAUUCAGCCA